AAAGAGUGUAAAAUAUUUAUAACCUUCGUUCUCAUGGAAGGGGGUCAUUCCAUUAAAUUUUUUAGAUUUUGAUUAUAUCAUCAGCAUAUUGUACAAAAGAAUUUAACUCAGCAUUAUGAGUAUCCUCCUAUACCAUGACUCUAACAGUCUUGGCUUAACUUAGCUUAUUACGAAGUAAAUCACGGUCUCCUUUAACGACACGGUUCAUCUCUUCAGCGGUCAAAAACUCAUAAUCGACUAGAGCAGUAGCUAAUGCAUCUAACUCUUUCUUGUGAGAUUUAAGCAAAGAUAAUGAACGUUCAUAUGACGCCUCAAGCAAAGACUUGAUUUCUGAUUCCACUAGCGCUCUCGUAGCAGGUGAGAGAUUAUCCAUUUCAGCUUCCAAACUAACCGGGCCAAUGCGGUCAGACAUUCCAAACUCCGUUACCAUACGGCGUGCAACUUGAGUAGCCUUGUCUAUAUCAUUAUGUGCACCAGACGUUAUUUUAUCUUUUCCGUACAAAAGCUCCUCUGCGGCGCGACCGCCCAUGGUGACGUCAAGCAUAGCAAGAUAUUCUUCACGCGUCCAGCUAUCUUUAUCCAUAUCUGGUAAGGAAAUCGUCAUUCCCAAACUACUACCUCUAGGCAUAAUAGUAGCCUUGUAGGGUCUCAUAGCAUUUUUGGUAAAUAAAGCUACUAAUGCAUGUCCACCUUCGUGAUAGGCAGUCAUUAGCUUAUUUUCUGGAGUAAUGAAUGCACUUUUUCUUUCAGCACCCAUAAGUAUUCGAUCUUUUGACCAUUCUAAAUCACGCAUACUGACUGCGGUUGAUAAGUUUUUACUGGCAUAGACAGCAGCUUGGUUGAUUAGGUUAGCUAGAUCAGCCCCAGCAAACCCAGAGGUUCCUCUUGCAAUAAUGCUGAGAUCGACAUCCUUGCCGAGAGGUACAUGUCGUGUAUGCUGCAGUAAGAUUGCCAGACGCCCUCUAACAUCGGGUAAAGGAACAUGUAUAUGGCGAUCGAAACGCCCUGGACGAGUUAGCGCAGGAUCCAAACUUUCGGGGAAAUUCGUAGCACCAAUAAAAACGACUGGAUGAGCUAAAUCUUCAUUUUUUGAAAACCCGUCUAAAUCAACUAGCAAUUGGUUCAAAGUCUGUCUCAUAUGAGCGGCGUCUCGUGCAUUUCUUUUUUGUCCAAUAGCAUCCAAUUCAUCGAUAAAUAUAAUGGAAGGAGCUUGCUUUCUAGCGGCAGCGAACAAUUCUCGAACUCGUUUGGCACCAACACCUACAUACAUUUCGUCAAACUGACUGCCACUCAUAAAGAAAAAAGGAACAUUUGCCUCUCCAGCAACAGCCCUAGCAAGCAUUGUUUUUCCAGUUCCGGGUGGUCCUGUAAGCAAAACACCUCUAGGCAAUUUACCUCCCAACCGUGUAAAAUGAGUAGGAUCGCGCAAAAAAUCAACGAUUUCCUCCAGUUCCUCCUUGGCCUCGUCAACACCUUGAACAUCAGAGAAGCGAACAUUAAUAGCUCGCUCCUCCAUAGGUUCUUGCUCAGUAGUGUUGGUCAUUAUAUUGUUAAGACCUGAAGUUUCAGCAAAAAUACUCAUUCCUAAAAGAACAAAAUAGGAGGCCACACUAAGACCAGCAAUGAAUUUAAAAAUUCUGAAAAAUUUUGUAAAUCUCGGUUCAUCAACUACCACAUAGACAGGAGUUUUACUACUUGUGCCCAAUGCUGAUGAAACAAUCGUGGGUGCCCAUACCGGAGGUGGAGUAGGAGUCGAAGGUGGCAUGGAAUUUUGCAAAGAAUGAUUAAGUGAAGGAGUCGAGGAAACGGUAGAAGAUGUAUCGGAUGUGAAUUUUGGUACGCCUGCCGAAAAUGCUUUUGGAUCACUGAAACUAGAGGUGGCAGGUGAAGAAGAUGAUUGAGAUAAGGAUAUGUUGUUCGAUAAACUUCUGCUCCACGAUUUUUUUCGCAAAGCCUCUUGAUAAUAUCGAUCACAUGCGGAGUUCCUGGCAACUCCUUGUGUUUCAUAACGGCUUAUAAUUGCUUCGGGGAAGUUAUCAGCUAGCUCCUUAUACAAUUUAGCCUGCAUAUAUGGGUCUGACAUAUUAGCAUUUGCCAAAUCUUCAAAAUGCGCAAGCUUUUGUUUUCUAAGGGGAUGAAGCCCCGAAGCUAAUGCAUAGCUCCGAGUUCGUAGCCAUCCAUGAACAAUGCUAUUGUUAAACAACCGUCCUCCGAAUUUUGAGCAUCCGGAAUACAAGAAACUUGUCUUUCCCUAUCGUCAAGUAAUGAGUUAGUAAUUAUUUAUGACCAGCUUCCUUAAGCUUAUCUACAUCGCGUUUUGUACCAUACAUACGCGAUGUCUAAAAUACUUACGAAAAGAAAUAUAGGAUGCAAAACCCUUGACAUAAAUUUUGCAAUACAAAAAGGUGCUUUCACGCCAAAUUGGAAAGCUAAAUCCCAAACAAUGGUUUCAACGUUGUUGGUAAACGGUAAGUGUUUAGAGCAUAAUAUUUGAAUGAUGGGUAACAAAUACACAUACAGUAUGAACCAAAGAUCCACUAUAUAGAGAUGCGGCACUGUAGACAGCUAAUAAGUAACAUAAGUGACAGCGAUAUCCUGAAAAUCAAAUAUAUUAUGUUAAGAGGGA